rnacentral:rRNA from 1 species
UACGGAGGGGGCUAGCGUUGUUCGGAAUUACUGGGCGUAAAGCGCGCGUAGGCGGCCAACUAAGUCAGACGUGAAAUCCCUCGGCUUAACCGGGGAACUGCGUCUGAUACUGGAUGGCUUGAGUUUGGGAGAGGGAUGCGGAAUUCCAGGUGUAGCGGUGAAAUGCGUAGAUAUCUGGAGGAACACCGGUGGCGAAGGCGGCAUCCUGGACCAACACUGACGCUGAGUGAGCGAAAGCCAGGGGAGCAAACGGG